rnacentral:rRNA from 1 species
UAGGGAAUCUUCGGCAAUGGACGGAAGUCUAACCGAGCAACGCCGCGUGAGUGAAGAAGGUUUUCGGAUCGUAAAGCUCUGUUGUAAGAGAAGAACGAGUGUGAGAGUGGAAAGUUCACACUGUGACGGUAUCUUACCAGAAAGGGACGGCUAACUACGUGCCAGCAGCCGCGGUAAUACGUAGGUCCCGAGCGUUGUCCGGAUUUAUUGGGCGUAAAGCGAGCGCAGGCGGUUAGAUAAGUCUGAAGUUAAAGGCUGUGGCUUAACCAUAGUACGCUUUGGAAACUGUUUAACUUGAGUGCAAGAGGGGAGAGUGGAAUUCCAUGUGUAGCGGUGAAAUGCGUAGAUAUAUGGAGGAACACCGGUGGCGAAAGCGGCUCUCUGGCUUGUAACUGACGCUGAGGCUCGAAAGCGUGGGGAGCAAACAGGAUUAGAUACCCUGGUAGUCCACGCCGUAAAUGAUGAGUGCUAGGUGUUAGACCCUUUCCGGGGUUUAGUGCCGUAGCUAACGCAUUAAGCACUCCGCCUGGGGAGUACGACCGCAAGGUUG